rnacentral:rRNA from 1 species
UACGGAGGGUGCAAGCGUUAUCCGGAUUCACUGGGUUUAAAGGGUGCGUAGGCGGGUAUAUAAGUCAGUGGUGAAAGCUCCGAGCUUAACUUGGAAACUGCCAUUGAUACUGUAUAUCUUGAAUGUCGUAGAGGUUAGCGGAAUUUUGCAUGUAGCGGUGAAAUGCUUAGAUAUGUUACAGAACACCAAUUGCGAAGGCAGCUAACUAUGCGAUGAUUGACGCUGAGGCACGAAAGCGUGGGGAGCAAACGGG